UCCCUGGUGGCUCAGAUGAUAAAGAAUCUGUCUGUAGUGCAGAAGACCCGGGUUUGAUUCCUGAUUUGGGAA
rnacentral:tRNA from 1 species